UCUCCCAACCAAGCACAGUGUAAGGGGGUGCAAGCACUUCACUUGCACUUCUCCUUAUGUUUGAGUGUCUUAGAUUGCACUAUUUGUAUCUCUAGAAACAUUGUUAUGUCACCACCUUCAUAUUCAUAAAUAAUCAUUUUUACUCACAAAUAAACAAAGCAGUUUUAUUUUAUUUUUUUAACUAAAUGUUCUGUUUAAAAAUAUAGAAAUUUCCACAGAUCUGUGAAUGGUCUUGCUUUUUCAUAUACUAAAAUCUUAUAACAAUGAAUGAGUGUAUUAUGAGAUUUAACAAAUUCUCUUGGGUUGUGUUUGAAUCAUGGAUUUGGAUAGAGAUUUAAACAAACCAUUCCUAAAAUGCAUGCAUACUUAGCUUUUAAAGGGCAUGAUUUCUAUCAAUAGAAACAACCAUGUCCGAAAUUUUAGGAAAAUGCUAUCUACCCAUAAAUUUUACACCGAAAAGUAUCCCAAAAGUGAGUUGUAUGGUGCAGAUUCAAAGUGAUGUGAGUUCGCCCGGAAUGAAUGUAGUCUAUCUUGCAUAUGUAUUUUUUUGGUCUAUCCUACAUAUGUAUUUUUCUGGAUCAUUUUUCUAGGUAUGUAGUAUUGUUGAAAAUUUUAACAAGUUGUGUUCUAUAUUACAAUAAAUUUCUAUAAAUCUAAGAAUUCCUAUAGGAUUGGCUGGGACCUUUGUGGCUAUUCUUCAACCUGAUCUCAAAUGAGUAACUAUAUCUUCAAAAAUUAGUUUCAAAUUAAUAAUUAACAAACUGAGGGAUGCAUAGCUAAUUAUAUCUAAAAGUGUGUGCAAGAUGUUGCAAGGAAACUCUAGGGUAGACUCGACAACUCAAUGUUGGUAGAUACAUUUCCCACUUUCUACUUUGUGUUCCUAAAAGGCCAUUCAUUUGGCUUCAAAGGAUUUCAAAAUGUGCAUUUUUGGGACUCAAUACUUCUGCUGUGCUACUGUAAUAGGUUGAAGGAUUCAAAACGAACUUAAUUUACUUUGAUUCAUACCAAGCCACCUACCUCGGAAAGUUUGUCACAGUUCAUUCAUAUCACUUUCUCAGAAUGUGAAUUCCGAUGUCAGUUCGAAGCACACCCACACACUGUGCAACUCGACGAGCAACGACGAAGGGUGAGACGCGAAGACCACCGCGGAGUAGGCCAAGAAGACAAAGGCCACAGCGAGAGCUCCUAAAAUAAAUUUUCUCAACAUUUUUGUAAUAAUACUUAAUACAUAAUAUACGAAGUCAGUACUUUACAAAAUACUC